rnacentral:rRNA from 1 species
CCAGCAGCUGCGGUAAUUCCAGCUCUAAUAGCGUAUAUUUAAGUUGUUGCAGUUAAAAAGCUCGUAGUUGGAUUUCGGGCGGGUGACGGCGGUCCGCCUCUGGUGUGCACUGCUGCUCAUCCGCCUUGCUGUCGGGGACGGGCUCCUGGGCUUCACUGUCCGGGACCCGGGUUCGACAUGGUUACUUUGAGUAAAUUAGAGUGGUCAAAGCAAGCCUACGCUCUGAAUACGUUAGCAUGGAAUAACAUGAUAGGACUCUGGCCUAUCUUGUUGGUCUGUAGGACUGGAGUAAUGAUUAAGAGGGACAGUCGGGGGCAUUCGUAUUGCGCUGUCUGAGGUGAAAUUCUUGGAUUUGCGCAAGACGAACAUCUGCGAAAGCAUUUGCCAAGGAUGUUUUCAUUGAUCAAGAACGAAAGU